GAUGAAGAACGCAGCGAAAUGCGAUAAGUAGUGUGAAUUGCAGAAUUCAGUGAAUCAUCGAAUCUUUGAACGCACAUUGCGCCCUUUGGUAUUCCAAAGGGCAAGCCUGUUCGAGCGUCAUUUGUACCCUCAAGCUUUGCUUGGUGUUGGGCGUCUUGUCUCUAGCUUUGCUGGAGACUCGCCUUAAAGUAAUUGGCAGCCGGCCUACUGGUUUCGGAGCGCAGCACAAGUCGCACUCUCUAUCAGCAAAGGUCUAGCAUCCAUUAAGCCUUUUUUUCAACUUUUGACCUCGGAUCAGGUAGGGAUACCCGCUGAACUUAAGCAUAUCAAUAAGCGGAGGA
rnacentral:misc_RNA from 1 species